AGGGCUGUAGCUCAGUGGUUAGAGCAUCUGCUUUGCAUGCUGAAGGGCCCAAGUUCAAUUCAUUGUGGCACCUCUA